CGUUUCAGUAGUACAAAUCUGUUUGAAAGACGGGUAUUUUUUUAAUAUAUACACGUGACACCCCUUUCAAAAAACGCUGGUUGCGCCACUGCGGUAGGGUACCCGGUGUAAAAUAUAACGGCUUCCGCGGGCGAAAAUUAAUGACCCCGGCCGCGGGACGGGCGGGAUUUCGGCGUUGUUGUACCGAGAGCGACCAUAGUACGAGUGGAUCAUCGCAAACAGAAAAUUGUUCCGGAUUUAACGAACCGAGGGAACGGUAGAAAUCGAAGAAAUAGUUAGAUAAAAAACGAGUUGAGCCACCGUACGGAAAUGUUUUUCGAACAAACCGUUUCGGGAUAUCUCGUGCCCAUGAAUAGGACACUGACGUCACAAGAAAAACACGAUUUUCGAGUUAUUACUGUCCGUGUGU